rnacentral:rRNA from 1 species
GUGAGGAAUAUUGCGCAAUGGAGGCAACUCUGACGCAGCCAUGCCGCGUGCAGGAAGAAGGCGCUACGCGUUGUAAACUGCUUUUAACCGGGAAGAAACCCCAGGACGUGUCCUGGGUUGACGGUACCGGAGGAAUAAGCACCGGCUAACUUCGUGCCAGCAGCCGCGGUAAUACGAAGGGUGCAAGCGUUAUCCGGAUUCAUUGGGUUUAAAGGGUGCGUAGGCGGAGCGUUAAGUCAGUGGUGAAAUCCUGCAGCUUAACUGUAGACUUGCCAUUGAUACUGGCGCUCUUGAGUGCGCUUGAAGUGGGCGGAAUGUGCCGUGUAGCGGUGAAAUGCUUAGAUAUGGCACAGAACACCAAUUGCGAAGGCAGCUCACUAAGACGAUACUGACGCUGAGGCACGAAAGCGUGGGGAUCGAACAGGAUUAGAAACCCCGGUAGUCC